GUUUUGUUUCCUGACGUCUGACUCUCGCCUGUUCCUGAUCUGUACUGUUGCCAGGAAAACUCUAGAAUACCGAACCUGACCGCCCGACUACGAGACAGCCUGCUCCUAAACGGUACUGUAAUCUGUGUUCUCCCGUUACCGAAACUCUGCCUGUUCUUGGACCUGAACCUGCCUGCCCCACCUGUACCGAAGCCUGCGAUUCCCCGUGUACGACCCGGACCGUCUGAGAUAUCGAAUACUGAAUUAAAACCGUUUAACUCUACUACCUGUCUGAGGUCUCUGUGCUGUGCAUGUGGGUCCUCAUCUGUGCGAUCGUGACAGUUCUCCUCUGUGAAUCUACAAGACGAUGAAGCAAAAGAUGACGGAAUCAUCUGCUUAAAUCUGGCAACAGCGUUGUCAGAUAAACAUCUGCUUUAGUAAGAUUUCUUUCCAGCUGUUGCAAGGUCAAUUAUGCUAAAUUCAAAAGUUAAUGACAAAUGGUCAGAUAACAGAGGGUUUGGGGGAAGAACUAUUAAAUUAUCAAUUGCAACCCCGUCACAGGAACCAUAUGUAAGGACAAGAUCGAGGGUAUUAUUAAAACGAUGAGUGGGUUCAUUUACCUGCUCAGUAAAACCAAUGGUGUCUAUUAAGGAGUUACUGUAAAAGCAAUGCUGAGACAGUUGCUGUCAACAUCUACAUGAAUAGUAACGUCUCCCACUAAAAUGACUUUGUUUGUGCUAAGAACUAAGUCAGAUAAGAAUUUAGAGAAUUCAGUUGAGAACUCUGAAUAUGGAGUAGGAGGACGGUAAAUAAUACAAAACACAACUGGCUUCUGGGUUUUAGAGUCUCUGAUACCACAGCAGCAGGAGGACACAGACCACAGCAAGGAGGCCUCACCGACUCCCACAACGUCUGCAGCCAUCACGUUCUGGACAGACUCACCAGCUACUACAAGCCCUACACCAGCAUGAAAGGACUGUUUCUGAAGCUUCAGAGGCCGUGAAAUUGCCAUACAAGCGCGUGUGUCUGACACUGACACUUGCUUAUGACAGUUUUCAGCAAAGGAAAAUAUGGAAAGAGAAACCGCAGAGUGAGCUACAUCUGAGAAGUGCUCUGCCACAGACACUGGUUAAAACUACAGGAGAGGCUUCAGACGUGAUUGAUCCAAAAUCUUUGCUCAAUUGAUCUAAAUUCAUGCUUAUCUGCUUGCAAUGAAGACUCGCUUUUUGCCCAAAACAUCCCACAGAGUGAUUUUAAAAUGAUAACAGCUACUGUAAAUGACAACUGCUGCAUGACUUUGCAGUCUGAUGGGUUUAAACAAUUUUCUGAGUUUACUCUGACCUUUCAGGGAGAAAGUAUGGUGUUUUUAGUUCAUUCGGGUAUGACAAAUUCACUUAUAAAAUCUUUUAUGUUUCUCAAUCAAGCCUUUAGGUUCCAUUAGGCAUGUUUUAGACCUACUAAACAUUUAUCAUUAUUAUGCACUUUUUUAUUGCAUUAAAUAAAUGUGAUAUAUCUAUUGCCACCUUGAAAAUUAUUUUAGAAAUAUAUUGAUGAAUUUUGCACUUAGGCAUCAUGAACACUUAUUGAGAAAGUCAAAUGGGAUGAAAUCAAAUAGUUGCAUUGCGGAUUAUUCUUCUUUUGCAAAACAAUAAUUUAGUACAAGCCAUGAAAUGCAAAACUUGUGAUUAUAAUAACAUACAGUACUGAUAAAAAACAAAACAAAAUUAAACACACUUAUUACUAUUACUUUUAGUGCUCUCCGUUUUUAGUAUUUUGUAGUUUAAUGAUAGUUUGUGAGUGAGACUGGAUGAAUUAUGAUCAUGAGACUCAGUGAGAUAAAAUGUUAGACCUAAUUUGAACUGUUAGUUUUUCUAGUUUUAGUGUCAAUCAGUGCUCGUAAACUAAUGAAAACAGGCUACAAGGUGAGUGAGCUUGAGUCAUUUUUUUCUCAGUUAUUCCUUUGUCACAAAUGUAAGAUGAUAUGUUUGUGGAGAUUAUAAUAUGUUGUGAAUUUAUGUCACUAAAUACAGAUUGUUGUUGUAUAGUUAAUACGGGUAGGGAUCAGGAGGAAUAAAAUGGAAAUAAAAUUUCUCUUUUACUAAAGCAAAUAUUUACAUCAUACAGAGACAUUUGCAUGUUAUUCAUAACAAAAUUUGUGAUAAAACUCAGCAUGUGGCAGAUUUGGUAACCAAAUAACACAAAUAUGAUGUUCUUGGAUUUUCAUUUCACAGAAAACAUAGUAGUGGCUUUGAGAGGGUGUCAUAUUGAGAUAAGCAUUGGAGCAAGUGACAAGAAGGAGAAACAGUCAGGAUGAUGUGGAGUCUGUUGUUGUCUGUCAUGUCUCUGACCAAGCCGUUGAUGGGCUCUGGACAGAAUGUGCUGAUACAGCAGUGAACAAAAACAACUGGUGGAGCGCUGACCUGCUGGGCCUGUAUGAAAUAUAUAACAUCAUGAUCUACAACAUUAAACAAAGUAAUAUUCACAUGGAGGGAGCUCAGAUCGUCAUUGGGAACUCAUCUGAGAAGAGCAACACCACUGGCAACGUGUGUAAAACCAUCACAAACUUCACAUUGAACCAAAACAACACUUUUCAGUGUGACGGUGGAUCAAUAUGGGGACGCUAUGUUACCAUAUAUUUACAGAAAGACUUUCUUGUUCUGUGUGAGGUGCAGAUCUAUGGAAUAAGGAAAGGUUUGAUGCUGAUUCCAGAGAACAGGACAUGGUUAGAUUCACUGAUCUACUGCAGAGACCACAACAUGGACCUGGCUUAUAUCCAUGACAAUGAGACCCAGGUCUGGGCUGAGUUGGAGCUACAGAACUCCACCAGUCCCUUUGUGUGGCUGGGCCUUCGUUACACCUACACGCUGGGGUCAUGGGUUUGGGUAGAUGAUCGUCCUCUACAGUACGAAAACUGGGAUCCAAAGCAAAUAAGAGAAGAUACGUGUGACAUGAGUGUUGCCAUAAAAAAAGACAACCAUUACUGGUACAGCAAACCUGACAGUAAAGAGUUUAAUUUCAUGUGUAUCAUAUAAGAGAAAUCAGUGUCAUGUAUUAUUUGCACUCGUGUCAAUUUAAAUACAAUGAUUUUUAUAUGAACCUGAUGUGUUGAAGCAAGAGAUUUUCACUCUCCCACAGAUACAAGAAAGCUUUUACCAACUGUCUGUAUAAGCAUUUAUUGAUAUUAUAGUUUUCUCGGUGUACCUUUUAACAGUCUUUUUUAAAGAAGAAUUAUCUAAUUUUUAUAUUUUAUUUACGGCUUUGGGUCAUGUUUGUGUGACAUCUGCAUUUUGUACACAUUUGCUCACAUUUAAUACUGAUUUGUAACAUUUAACAUGUAUUUUAAUCCUAAUUGCAUUUGCUGUCUGCUAUUUCUUCUGAAUGCUUAGGUUAAAAUUAGUGAUUUUCGUAAUACUACAUGUGGAGUAACUAAUUCUCUUUAUUCUGUUCAAUAAAAAAAAUAUU